rnacentral:lncRNA from 1 species
UGAGAUAGCAUGAGGGAUCUUAGGGUCAAAAUUUGGGGUCUUACACCCCCCUUUUAUUUAAGUGACUUAUCUAUGAAAUAAAAUUGAAUUCUCGUGUUCAAUUCAAAUCCUUUUUCUUUCAUUUCCUCUAAUUUUCAAAAAUGACAAUGUCUCUUUCAUCCACUUUCCUUCAUCAUUUCUUUUCUACUCUACAUUAUCAUUAAAAAAAUAUAUAUUAAUAAGAAAAUAAAAUCAUCCUCAUGUAGAUUAAUA